rnacentral:snoRNA from 1 species
GAGCUGUGAUGACCUUGGUGCUCAACGUGAUGAUAGGGUCUAUCACUACCGUCUGAUCAUAUAAUCGGACGAAAGCGAGCGCAUCUGAGCUC